rnacentral:rRNA from 1 species
AUAUUGGUCAAUGGAGGCAACUCUGAACCAGCCAUGCCGCGUGCAGGAUGACGGUCCUAUGGAUUGUAAACUGCUUUUGUACAGGAAGAAACAUCGCUACGUGUAGCGACUUGACGGUACUGUAAGAAUAAGGAUCGGCUAACUCCGUUCCAGCAGCCGCGGUAAUACGGAGGAUCCGAGCGUUAUCCGGAAUUAUUGGGUUUAAAGGGUUCGUAGGCGGUUAGAUAAGUCAGUGGUGAAAUUUCCUAGCUUAACUAGGACACGGCCAUUGAUACUGUUUGACUUGAAUAGUAUGGAAGUAACUAGAAUAUGUAGUGUAGCGGUGAAAUGCUUAGAUAUUACAUGGAAUACCAAUUGCGAAGGCAGGUUACUACGUACUUAUUGACGCUGAUGAACGAAAGCGUGGGGAGCGAACAGG